rnacentral:rRNA from 1 species
GGGUUGUGAGGUUAAGCGACUAAGCGUACACGGUGGAUGCCCUGGCAGUCAGAGGCGAUGAAGGACGUGCUAAUCUGCGAUAAGCGUCGGUAAGGUGAUAUGAACCGUUAUAACCGGCGAUUUCCGAAUGGGGAAACCCAGUGUGUUUCGACACACUAUCAUUAACUGAAUCCAUAGGUUAAUGAGGCGAACCGGGGGAACUGAAACAUCUAAGUACCCCGAGGAAAAGAAAUCAACCGAGAUUCCCCCAGUAGCGGCGAGCGAACGGGGAGGAGCCCAGAGCCUGAAUCAGUGUGUGUGUUAGUGGAAGCGUCUGGAAAGGCGCGCGAUACAGGGUGACAGCCCCGUACACAAAAAUGCACAUAUUGUGAGCUCGAUGAGUAGGGCGGGACACGUGGUAUCCUGUCUGAAUAUGGGGGGACCAUCCUCCAAGGCUAAAUACUCCUGACUGACCGAUAGUGAACCAGUACCGUGAGGGAAAGGCGAAAAGAACCCCGGCGAGGGGAGUGAAAAAGAACCUGAAACCGUGUACGUACAAGCAGUGGGAGCCUCUUAAUGGGGUGACUGCGUACCUUUUGUAUAAUGGGUCAGCGACUUAUAUUCUGUAGCAAGGUUAACCGAAUAGGGGAGCCGAAGGGAAACCGAGUCUUAACUGGGCGUUAAGUUGCAGGGUAUAGACCCGAAACCCGGUGAUCUAGCCAUGGGCAGGUUGAAGGUUGGGUAACACUAACUGGAGGACCGAACCGACUAAUGUUGAAAAAUUAGCGGAUGACUUGUGGCUGGGGGUGAAAGGCCAAUCAAACCGGGAGAUAGCUGGUUCUCCCCGAAAGCUAUUUAGGUAGCGCCUCGUGAAUUCAUCUCCGGGGGUAGAGCACUGUUUCGGCAAGGGGGUCAUCCCGACUUACCAACCCGAUGCAAACUGCGAAUACCGGAGAAUGUUAUCACGGGAGACACACGGCGGGUGCUAACGUCCGUCGUGAAGAGGGAAACAACCCAGACCGCCAGCUAAGGUCCCAAAGUCAUGGUUAAGUGGGAAACGAUGUGGGAAGGCCCAGACAGCCAGGAUGUUGGCUUAGAAGCAGCCAUCAUUUAAAGAAAGCGUAAUAGCUCACUGGUCGAGUCGGCCUGCGCGGAAGAUGUAACGGGGCUAAACCAUGCACCGAAGCUGCGGCAGCGACACUAUGUGUUGUUGGGUAGGGGAGCGUUCUGUAAGCCUGUGAAGGUGGCCUGUGAGGGUUGCUGGAGGUAUCAGAAGUGCGAAUGCUGACAUAAGUAACGAUAAAGCGGGUGAAAAGCCCGCUCGCCGGAAGACCAAGGGUUCCUGUCCAACGUUAAUCGGGGCAGGGUGAGUCGACCCCUAAGGCGAGGCCGAAAGGCGUAGUCGAUGGGAAACAGGUUAAUAUUCCUGUACUUGGUGUUACUGCGAAGGGGGGACGGAGAAGGCUAUGUUGGCCGGGCGACGGUUGUCCCGGUUUAAGCGUGUAGGCUGGUUUUCCAGGCAAAUCCGGAAAAUCAAGGCUGAGGCGUGAUGACGAGGCACUACGGUGCUGAAGUGACAAAUGCCCUGCUUCCAGGAAAAGCCUCUAAGCAUCAGGUAACAUCAAAUCGUACCCCAAACCGACACAGGUGGUCAGGUAGAGAAUACCAAGGCGCUUGAGAGAACUCGGGUGAAGGAACUAGGCAAAAUGGUGCCGUAACUUCGGGAGAAGGCACGCUGAUAUGUAGGUGAAGCGACUUGCUCGUGGAGCUGAAAUCAGUCGAAGAUACCAGCUGGCUGCAACUGUUUAUUAAAAACACAGCACUGUGCAAACACGAAAGUGGACGUAUACGGUGUGACGCCUGCCCGGUGCCGGAAGGUUAAUUGAUGGGGUUAGCGGUAACGCGAAGCUCUUGAUCGAAGCCCCGGUAAACGGCGGCCGUAACUAUAACGGUCCUAAGGUAGCGAAAUUCCUUGUCGGGUAAGUUCCGACCUGCACGAAUGGCGUAAUGAUGGCCAGGCUGUCUCCACCCGAGACUCAGUGAAAUUGAACUCGCUGUGAAGAUGCAGUGUACCCGCGGCAAGACGGAAAGACCCCGUGAACCUUUACUAUAGCUUGACACUGAACAUUGAGCCUUGAUGUGUAGGAUAGGUGGGAGGCUUUGAAGUGUGGACGCCAGUCUGCAUGGAGCCGACCUUGAAAUACCACCCUUUAAUGUUUGAUGUUCUAACGUUGGCCCGUAAUCCGGGUUGCGGACAGUGUCUGGUGGGUAGUUUGACUGGGGCGGUCUCCUCCUAAAGAGUAACGGAGGAGCACGAAGGUUGGCUAAUCCUGGUCGGACAUCAGGAGGUUAGUGCAAUGGCAUAAGCCAGCUUGACUGCGAGCGUGACGGCGCGAGCAGGUGCGAAAGCAGGUCAUAGUGAUCCGGUGGUUCUGAAUGGAAGGGCCAUCGCUCAACGGAUAAAAGGUACUCCGGGGAUAACAGGCUGAUACCGCCCAAGAGUUCAUAUCGACGGCGGUGUUUGGCACCUCGAUGUCGGCUCAUCACAUCCUGGGGCUGAAGUAGGUCCCAAGGGUAUGGCUGUUCGCCAUUUAAAGUGGUACGCGAGCUGGGUUUAGAACGUCGUGAGACAGUUCGGUCCCUAUCUGCCGUGGGCGCUGGAGAACUGAGGGGGGCUGCUCCUAGUACGAGAGGACCGGAGUGGACGCAUCACUGGUGUUCGGGUUGUCAUGCCAAUGGCACUGCCCGGUAGCUAAAUGCGGAAGAGAUAAGUGCUGAAAGCAUCUAAGCACGAAACUUGCCCCGAGAUGAGUUCUCCCUGACUCCUUGAGAGUCCUGAAGGAACGUUGAAGACGACGACGUUGAUAGGCCGGGUGUGUAAGCGCAGCGAUGCGUUGAGCUAACCGGUACUAAUGAACCGUGAGGCUUAACCUUACAACGCCGAAG